rnacentral:misc_RNA from 1 species
AUGUCCACACCUGUUCCAUCCAAAACAUAUAAGUGUAGUCCAUGAUAAGUGAUGAAUUAACCACUGAAUUAUCGUACAAUUAACUUUCACUUGACUACUAGGAUGAAUUUGAUAAUCGAACUUCCAACUAUUUACUAAUGUUUUGCUAUAACCUUUUGCUUUCCCCCCCUUUUCUUGUUAAAAAAUACUAAGAAAAUAUAUGCAUGUAAAUAACAUUUAUUAUUAGAAACAAGAAAGCCAUACAAUUAUGUAAUUAAUCUAAUAAACUAAGAUUCUUUUAUAUUUUUACUGUAAAUAUUUCCAAUAUCAAUUAUCAAUGAAGGGAUAAUUUUAAAUUCAAUCUACUAUUGUUUUUAACAGUGUACUGUAAUAGACGUAGUAGUUAAAAUUGGGAUUUAAGCAGUUAUGUUCAAUUUCAUGUUGUUAGAAUUAUUGUCUCAAAAGUAUAGAUAAAUUAUGGGAAAACACUGACACAAACUGGGACAACACAUUCGAAAAGUUUCAAAUAAGGACAUCGUGGAAAUGUGCACCGCACAUCGCAUUGCAAAUAUCUCACUGUUAAGCAACAUCCUAUAGGCCUUAGAAAGCAAAAGUGAAACACACAAUGAACAUCUUUCACCUAUAAUCCCGCCUAUUUACCAUCACUCCUUAUGAUUUAAACAAAGUUUAUUUCACCAACCCAUUGAAUUAGACAGCUCAAGAAACCAAUUAGCUCACACUGCCUAAAUGACAAUCUAUAUAAUUCUGUUACUAUUUCUCCCUCUGUUUCUCCAUUGUCCAUCUAUCAUAGGGACAAAUUAUGAUAUCAAAUACCUAGAUUUUGAUGGCUACAGGAUUAAUCAAAUACGAACUAAAUAGAACGCAUUUGUAAAUAGUAAAACUUAAACAGAUCUAUCGAUAAACUAAUCACGAUCAGCACGCAAAAUCAUUAACAUCAGCUCAAAUUCAACAACCGAAAUUAGAACGAAGAAA